CCGUUAGCAUCAAGGCCUAUUAGCUCAGCUGGUUAGAGCGUCGUGCUAAUAACGCGAAGUUCACAGGUUCGAGACCUGUAUGGGCCAA
rnacentral:tRNA from 1 species